AUAGCAUGUGUUGUUUGUACACUGAAUGUCACUCUUCCUUGGGAUCCCCAAGAGCUGCAGAUAUUGGGGUCUCAACAGGUACCUAAUGAUACAUGGGAUAAAGAGGGAGGCUAUUGGUGGUCUCCUGGAUGUAUUGGCUUUGCAAGAUUUAACCACGAGAGGAGCCGUUCAAAUAUUUUAGAUCUUCUCACACCUCAAGGUCCUUAUUGGAAUGCACGGAAAAAUAGAUCAGAUCCAUUCACUACCGUCUAUCCACACAAUACAGAGCUAUUUACCUGGGAAGGGUCAUAUUGUGGCUUCCUUCCAAAUAUAUCCACACCUAGGGAAAAUAGUAGUUAUUGUCUGCCUGAACAUUGGGUGAGUAACCCUGGUGUCAUUAAUGUGUCGAGGCCUGAUGGUUCUCAACGGGGAAUAAAUUGUAAUCUCAGCAGCAAGUAUGCAAAAGGCUGCUGUUUUGAACCCAGGGCAAAAGAACAGGGGCUAGAAAAAUACAUCUGGAACAACUCCACUGCGAAAGCACUGCCACCGGGUAUAUUCUUGAUUUGUGGUGACCGUGCAUGGCAAGGUAUACCAUCAAAUGCAGUGGGAGGACCUUGUUAUUUGGGACGGUUAACCAUCUUGUCCCCACGAGCCCUCGACUGGGUGCGCCUGACCAGAAACAUGACGAAAUCUCGGAAGAGACGGAGCAUUCACACACUGGCAUCGGACUGUGGUGACAAAGUUCAACUUUGGGGACCAACAGCAAGGAUUUUUGCAUCUAUUUUUGCACCAGGAGCAGCUGCAGCGCAGGCGCUAAAAGAGAUAGAGAGACUCGCUUGCUGGUCCGUGAAACAAGCUAACAUGACUUCUACACUGCUGAGUGAGCUACUUGAAGACACUGACAGUAUUAGACAUGCUAUGCUUCAAAACAGAGCAGCAAUUGAUUUCUUGCUUCUCGCACAGGGUCAUGGUUGUAAAGACUUUGAUGGGAUGUGUUGUUUUAACUUGAGUGAUCAUAGUAAGUCGUUGCACGAGAAGCAGGAGGUGAAGAGGCUGAAGAAGAGGAGGAAGGUGCUAAGGAAGAAUCAGAAGAAGGCAAAGAAGGUGAGGAGGAAGAAGGAGAAGAAACAGCAGCUGAAGAUGGAGAGUUGGUUUGGUGCGUAUUGUAACGGGUUAAGCCUUUUAAGCAUGGGGAGGGGGAAAUGUUGUAUUAGGCGAAAUACGGGGAUGUUAUCGGGCUGUGACGUGACAGGCCCUUCCCCAUAUUCUGGAAGAAUCUUGCUACGUGUAACACAGUAGGCGUAGACGAAGUGGACGUAGGUUAUAUAAGGUCGUGUGUGCUUCAAUAAAUCGCCAUUUUACCACGCUACCA
rnacentral:lncRNA from 1 species